AAUUUUUUAAUCAUUAAUAAUGGAUCAACAAUUCAUAAAUAAAUGAGUUUAAAAAUUA
rnacentral:tRNA from 1 species